GGCGAUCAGAUACCGCCCUAGUUCUGACCGUAAACGAUGCCAACUAGCGAUCCGCCAGUCGACUCAUCGCUCUGGUGGGGAGCUUCCCGGAAACGAAAGUCUUCCGGUUCCGGGGGAAGUAUGGUUGCAAAGCUGAAACUUAAAGGAAUUGACGGAAGGGCACCACCAGGAGUGGAGCCUGCGGCUUAAUUUGACUCAACACGGGGAAACUCACCCGGCCCGGACACCGUAAGGAUUGACAGAUUGAUAGCUUUUUCAUGAUUCGGUGGAUGGUGGUGCAUGGCCGUUCUUAGUUCGUGGAGCGAUUUGUCUGGUUUAUUCCGAUAACGAGCGAGACUCUGGCCUACUAAAUAGUUGACGCAUUGCCACUGUGCGCACAACUUCUUAGAGGGAUUUUCGGUGUUUUCAACCGCACGAAAUUGAGCAAUAACAGGUCUGUGAUGCCCUUAGAUGUCCGGGGCUGCACGCGCGCUACACUGGCAAACGCAACGUGCCUGUCCUGCCUCGAAAGGAGCGGGUAAACCCCUGAAAUUUUGCCGUGAUUGGGAUCGGACAUUGCAACUAUUGUCCGUGAACGAGGAAUUCCUUGUAGGGGCGAGUCAUCAACUCGUCCCGAAUACGUCCCUGCCCUUGUA
rnacentral:rRNA from 1 species